ACUUGCCUACGGGAGGCAGCAGUGAGGAAUAUUGGUCAAUGGUCGGGAGACUGAACCAGCCAAGCCGCGUGAGGGAGGAAGGUACAGAGUAUCGUAAACCUCUUUUGUCAGGGAACAAAGGCGGGGACGUGUCCCCGGAUGAGUGUACCUGAAGAAAAAGCAUCGGCUAACUCCGUGCCAGCAGCCGCGGUAAUACGGAGGAUGCGAGCGUUAUCCGGAUUUAUUGGGGUUAAAGGGUGCGUAGGCGGAA
rnacentral:rRNA from 1 species